AUUGAACGCUGGCGGCAGGCUUAACACAUGCAAGUCGAGCGGGGGAAGGUAGCUUGCUACUGGACCUAGCGGCGGACGGGUGAGUAAUGCUUAGGAAUCUGCCUAUUAGUGGGGGACAACAUCUCGAAAGGGAUGCUAAUACCGCAUACGUCCUACGGGAGAAAGCAGGGGAUCUUCGGACCUUGCGCUAAUAGAUGAGCCUAAGUCGGAUUAGCUAGUUGGUGGGGUAAAGGCCUACCAAGGCGACGAUCUGUAGCGGGUCUGAGAGGAUGAUCCGCCACACUGGGACUGAGACACGGCCCAGACUCCGACGGGAGGCAGCAGUGGGGAAUAUUGGACAAUGGGGGGAACCCUGAUCCAGCCAUGCCGCGUGUGUGAAGAAGGCCUUAUGGUUGUAAAGCACUUUAAGCGAGGAGGAGGCUACUCUAGUUAAUACCUAGGGAUAGUGGACGUUACUCGCAGAAUAAGCACCGGCUAACUCUGUGCCAGCCGCCGCUGUAA
rnacentral:rRNA from 1 species